rnacentral:rRNA from 1 species
UGCGUAGGGUGCGAGCGUUGUCCGGAAUUAUUGGGCGUAAAGAGCUCGUAGGCGGUCUGUCGCGUCGGUCGUGAAAACUUGGGGCUUAACCCUGAGCUUGCGGUCGAUACGGGCAUGACUGGAGUUCGGCAGGGGAGACUGGAAUUCCUGGUGUAGCGGUGAAAUGCGCAGAUAUCAGGAGGAACACCGGUGGCGAAGGCAAUCCCCUGGACCUGUACUGACGCUCAUGCACGAAAGCGUGGGGAGCAAACAGG